rnacentral:tRNA from 1 species
AAAGCUUUAAGUUAAAGAUGAAACUAUUAACCUUCAAAGUUAAAUAUAUAAUGUUAGGUAUAAGCUUUA